GAUUAAUUUAAUCAAAUGAUUAUUCGUUUCCAUCCCUAGUUGCAACGCACAUCUGGUGCGUACAUGCGAAACUAAAAAGAGAAGCAGAACAAGGAUUAUGCUACUUUAGGCAGAUGGAUAUUUGCAAACUUAGGACGAAAAAUUAAAGCUUAAGCUGAAUACCAUUGGUGGCUACAAUGACAAGUCUGAAAGGACUAAUAAUGUUGAGGAAUACAAUUUGGAAACAUGUACGUGGGAGAGCAUGCCUGCAUUGCCACAGCACUUAUGGGGCAUGAAUGUGGCGCUAUUGAAUGAAAGCAUCUAAGUUUUGGCAGGUUAUGUGCACAAUGCAGCUGCGCAAUUGGACACUGUGUAUAUGUUAGACAAUAACGGCACAGAGUGGCAGCAGGUCGCCAAUUUGUUGAAACCACGUUUUGAAGCAAACGUCACGGUAUUUGACUACGGCUGCAGGAACACCACUUGCCGAUUGUGAAUGCUAUGACGCAGUGAGCAAUACUUGGACACAAAGUGCUGGAACCUCGCGGUAAUGUUGGUUUGACAAUAGCAAAGGGGCAAAUUUAUGUGUUAGGCGGUACAAAAAGUGUUGGUGGCGUUUGUUUGCAAUCUCAUGAUCCAGUCAAAAAUGUGUGGACAAAGAUUUCUCCAAUGAAUAUUGAACGUAGCAACACAUGUGGCUUAUAUCUAAACGAACGUAUUCUAGCCAUUGGCGGUCUGGCAAAUUCAAAGGAUAAUUAACAGAGCUCUAAAAACAACAUUGAGGCGCCGAUGUUGUUCAUCUUGCUUCUAAUUAAGUAUACAUUAUUAGGCUGAAGUUACAACUUAACAUUUUCAAUAUUGUGAUUGUUAACUUAUAAAUUUUGAACGUAAUAAUAUUAUUUAUUAUUAUUAAUUUAAAUGUAAAAUAGUCAACAAUCGCAAUAGUAGUGAAAUGUAAUUAGUAUUGUAUAACAACACAAAAAAUCAAUACUUAAAACUUUUGAGAAAUUGUAAAUUAUAAAAAUUUAAUAAUUAAUACUAACUUUGUAUGCAAAAUAUGUAAAUUUUGUUAAUGUAUAAAUGAUAGCCGCAAAAACGUUUAUAAAAUGAAAGUUUACUUUCUACUGAAAUGUUAAUAUUUAAAAAUUAAUCUAUAAUAAUUAUUAAAAAUG